AGUGAACGCUGGCGGUAGGCCUAACACAUGCAAGUCGAACGGCAGCACCGUACGAGCUUGCUCUUCCGGGUGGCGAGUCGCGGACGGGAGAGGAAUACAUCGGGCCCUACUUUUUCGUGUGGGUUCACGUAGGGAAACCUUCGCUAAUAUCGCAUCCGACCUACGGGUGAAAGCAGGGGAUCUUUGGACCUUGUGCGAUUGAAUGAGCCGAUGUCGGAUUAGCUAGUUGGCGGGGUAAAGGCCCACCAAGGCGACGAUCCGUAGCUGGUGUGAGAGGAUGGUCAGCCGCACGGGAGCGGGGACACGGACCAGGCUCCUACGGGAGGCAGCAGUGGGGAAUAGUGGGCAGUGGGCGCAAACCUGGUCCAACCAUAGCACGUGGGAGGAGGAGGCCUUCGGGGUGUGAAGCCCUUUUGUGGGGAAAGAAAAGCAGCAGGUUGAUACCCCGCUGUUCUGACGGUAACCGAAGAAUAAGCACCGGCUAACUUCGUG
rnacentral:rRNA from 1 species